UCUGUUUUGCAGGUUAUGCAAUGUGACACACAUAAGUUUGUGCUUGAAGAACGUCAAAAUUAACCUGGUAGACCUGGAAGGCAACCCACCAUUAGCAGCAAGGUGAUAUUAAGUACUGAGGUGUGUCAGGAGGACGUCUGUCUCAAUAUUCAAUGCUUUGAUGUAGAAUUUGCACUGAACUGAGUAUUGCCGUGGACUGAAGGAGUAACCAGAUAGCCCUGUGAUUGGUCAUAGUCUUCAGUUGGACUUGUCAACCCACGCUGUAGACUAUAAGCAGUUUGGAAGGAAGACACCAGAGAACUGAUUUUUUAUUUUUUUUUUCUUUUCUUUUUCACUUUGCAACAAAGGAGCAGUUGCCACGUGCUCAAAAUGUCCUGACAGCUUUUUCCCGUACUAACAUACAGACUCUUUUUAUUUCAUGAAUGUUUUUGAUUUUUCUCUUUUCCACUGACUUCCAUUGUCAUGUUGGAUUUUAUGUUAUACUGUGAUGUUGCAUUAAGUUGAUUGUUAUAGUUUUAUGAUUAAGAAUGGAAACUCUCUACUACAGACACACACCAAGAUCUACAGUUCUCGCAAUCUUUUUGCUUUAUGUAGACAACCAGGUUCUGAUGAGUAUCACAGAACCAUAAAUUACUCAGUAAUGCUAAUUUUUAGAUUCAAUACAGGGUGUCUUCUCGCUCAGAUUGGCCCACAGCGGGAUUCCCCUUGACUUGGCUGCAUCAGUUUUUUUUACCAUUUCUUAGACGAGGUGGUGUUUUUCUGGUGGAGGCCCAGCCUGCCCUGUGAUGCCCCCUACUGGUACUCUUGAAUUUGUAAGGUUUAAGAGUGAUGCAUGUCUGUCCAUGGGGAUGGAGAGUGGAGGACCAGGUAGGAGGUUUCUUGGGGUGGAUGUACAGUAGACAGAUUUGACCUUGGUUACUGAACUGUAUUAGCUUACCUAGUUUAAUGUAAAUUUAAAAUAAUGUGUGCAUAGGAACCUAAAACAGGCCUAGCUCAAAUAGUUGAACCCUAAAUUGUAGAUAAAAUGCUUGGACUGUGGUCUGUUGACUGCGUUUAACCUUUUGUAUUUUUUUUUAUCCAGAUUGGCCAUUUGGUUAUAGGAGAACAUUCCACAGCUGCCUUCAUGCAGGACACAGAAAAUAAUGACGUGUGUCAUUGGCAUUUCUUACAGACAAUGCCCAUUACUCAUGAUAUAUAUAUUUUAGUUCACUUUGUUUGAUUUCUCAUUGUCCUAGAGCAUGUUAUAGUUGUAAUUUUAACAAUUAUUGCCUGUUUAAAGUUUGUUCUGUUUUUUUAGUUAAUAAAUAUGUUUAUUGUCAGCAUA